rnacentral:lncRNA from 1 species
UGUUAAUUUGCAUUUAUUUGACUAGCCAAAUAAAAAGAUGAUUUUAAGUUAGGUAUGCUGGUAUGUUCCCAUUGGCCCACCAACUCAAGGCUGAAACAGGAGGAUGGCUAGUUAAAGGUCCCAGUCACUCAGGGAAACAUACUGAGAUGGGUGUAUCUUAUUAUCCUCCACCCUGGAUAUUUUGAAGCUAUGAUUCUGUCACUUCCAUUUGCUGAUGGUGUGUUUUUUUGCAGGGAAGUGGGAAUGUCCUUGGCAUCACUGUGAUGUGUGUGGCAAACCUUCUACCUCAUUUUGCCACCUCUGCCCCAACUCAUUCUGUAAGGAACACCAAGAUGGGACUGCUUUCCGCUCCACCCAGGAUGGGCAAUCCUACUGCUGUGAGCAUGACCUGAGGGCAGACUCUGCAAAUAAUACCAAGACUGAGAAACCCUUUCUAGACUCACUCAAGGCGAAGGGGAAGAGGAAGAAAAGGCGGUGCUGGCGAAGGGUCACAGACGGCAAAUAGCGCUUGGUCAGAUCCUGGGGUGGUGUGGGGCAGCCAGUCCUGCCUACAGUGGGAAGGCGAGCACGGCACUCACCCCAAGGACCCAGGUCAUAGUGCUCUAUGUAUAGGCCUACUUGGGUGGGAGGCAGCUCCUCUCACCACUGAGCCAUCCUCAGCAGCUGUGCUGUGUCUGCACUGAUGCUUGUCAGCUGCAUGCUUGGCGGUCCAGGAUAAGCAAGCCUCACUACACAGCGUCACCUCUACACUUGAAUCUGAGACCAACGUCAAGGUGCCCUCCCAUUUCUAUUUUAGAUUAAAGUUAUGAUUGAAGAUUAACUGGC